UAAGAAAUGGAUCCAGCCACGGAUGACAGACCGGAUAUUUCCAUGAGUGCCCAUGGAAAUAACCACUGGAGAUCCCUUAGCUUUCCACCUGGAUUCUUACCCCUGGUGUUCCGCAUGGAAUAAGGACGGAAAUUUCCCUUUAUAUGGGUGGAAAACACCAGGGUUAAUCCAGUGGUUUUCCCUUUGAGAUAUACCACGGGUAGACUCCCAUGGAAUCCGUGCGGAAUACCAGUGGAAAUUUCCAGCAGCAAUAUCCAGUGGUAGUCCAUGGGGUUUCCCAAGGGAUUUUUCAGUGAUACCCCCGGAAAUUUCCACUGGUAAUCCUCUGGUUUUCCACCAUGGUUAUAUGAGUGGAAUGACAGUGGAAAUUUCCAGGGUGAUGAGUGGAUAUCACCAUGGGUAGUCCAAGGGUUUUCCCGUAGAAAGUUCCAGGUGGAAAAUUCCAUCUUUCAGAUGGAAAAUCCCAAAGGAAUUCAUGUGGAGUACCAGUGGAAUAUUCCAGUGUAAACAUCCAGUGGAAGACCCUUGGUUCUCCCACGGUUAUAUACACUCAUACACAUGGUAAUAUCCACUGGUAAUCCUGUGGUUUCUCACCACGGUUAUAUGAGUGAAACAACAGUGAAAUUUUCCCUGGUGAUGGAUGGAAAUCACCAUGGGCACUCCGAAGGUUUUCCCAUAGAAACUUCAAAGUGGUGAAUUCCUACUUCCAGGUGGAAAAUUCUAGAAGAAUUUGUGUGGAGCACCAUGGAAAGUUCCAGUGUUCUAUUUUAUUAAAAAAAAAAAGAUUUCACUCUGCGAUAUGUCUAUUUUAAUAUUAAUCGAAAGAAUUUAUCACAACGGUCUCUGUAUUUCAAAUGUAAUCGACGAGUCGAUGAUGCGUUCGAUGAGUAAAUAACGCCAUUUCAGCGCACGCGCAUUGCUCACGGAUUUUUCUGGAAGUCGUGGUGAAUUGGUUCUUGUGCAGUUAUUUGUGAAAAAAAUACAAUUAAAACUUUGAAAAACCAGUGACAAAAGUGUGCGGGAUGAACAAUAGAACUAGUUAAAUAAAGUGACACGGUUUUCAAUGCGAAAUAAAGAAAUUUAGUGCGCGAAACACAAAAAAAUCAUCUUCUCCGUCUCAUUCUUUGUGUUGACAAGACCAUAUUAUACACGAUAAGGCGAUGAAGUCCUGUGCCAAAAUAGUCGGUCAAAUCAAAGACAGCAAUAGGCCAUGCAGAAAGCGUAAGAAGGCAACGCCAGCAAUUCCAUUACCAAAGAACACUUCAGCAGUACCUGGGCCAUAUACUCAGCGAGAUUUGAAAUCGUCUGAAUCUACUCAUACAUCUAUCUAUCGUCUAAAUCGUAAGCUGUGUAAGGUGAUCAACGAUUCCUGCUUCUUUUGUAAUUCAUUAUAAUGUAAAUAUUUUUUCAAUCACGUCAAUAUUUUUUAUAUAUGUAUCUGAACAUUAAAUUAAUUUGAAGUUUAAUUAGAUUUUUUUUUUAAAUUAAAUGUAUUAUUUUUUUUUUAAUUUUAUUAAAAAAGUGAAGUUAAUACAUGAAAUAAAAUGUUCUCUGCUAUAUA